rnacentral:lncRNA from 1 species
AAGCUUGAAAUAGCAUCCUCUUUAAAAACUAAAGUAAGCUCUAUAUAUGCCUCUUAAUAAUGUUCUAUUUUACACAACUUAAGUGAGUAUUCUUCACUCUAUUUUCUAUAGAUUUGGAUCACCUUUUAUUCCAAGUCUUAUACUAAAAGCUCAAAAGUAUACCAUUCAUUAAAAGUAGAAGACCUUUGAUAUUUGUUUUUAUCUACGUUUGAAACCUAAGUCUCCAAUCUCACAAAGAAAUGCCUCUAAUUAUUUCUAAGAAUCUAUCCUUCACAAUAUUAUCGAGAUUCUCUAGCAUCUUAUAAAAUAUAUCUAUCUUUGGAAUUCAAAGCCCCCAAGUAGUAUCUAACAUUAAGCAAGUUAAAAAGCCUUGUUAGUAUCCACAUCUAUCUCAAAGUCCUUAGUAUAGUUACUAUCCAAAUAGUCUAAUAAAGCAGAUUGAUAAUAUUGACUCCUAAUAUACAUCAUAAAAAAGACUACUUUGAUACUUGCAAUU